rnacentral:rRNA from 1 species
CCUACGGGGAGCAGCAGUGGGGAAUAUUGCACAAUGGGGGAAACCCUGAUGCAGCGACGCCGCGUGAGUGAAGAAGUAUUUCGGUACGUAAAGCUCUAUCAGCAGGGAAGAGUAGAAGACGGUACCUGACGAAUAAGCCACGGCUAACUACGUGCCAGCAGCCGCGGUAAUACGUAGGUGGCAAGCGUUGUCCGGAUUUACUGGGUGUAAAGGGCGUGUAGCCGGGUUGACAAGUCAGAUGUGAAAUCCUGCGGCUUAACCGCAGAACUGCAUUUGAAACUGUUGAUCUUGAGUACUGGAGAGGCAGACGGAAUUCCUAGUGUAGCGGUGAAAUGCGUAGAUAUUAGGAGGAACACCAGUGGCGAAGGCGGUCUGCUGGACAGCAACUGACGGUGAGGCGCGAAAGCGUGGGGAGCAAACAGGAUUAGAUACCCGUAUAGUC